AUGCGAACUCAGGUGGGCAAACUUUUCCGCCCAGAGCUGCAGGGAAACGCAGACCAUGGAGCCCCAAAGAGCAUUUACCUGCAGCGAUGGCCCCGCAGUCUCCAGAGCCCAGGCGAGGCGCUGCCCCCGCGCCCUGCCCGAGGGCGCCUCGGAAAGCGCCCCCCGCCAGCCGCCGCCCGGAGUCCGGAAGGCUCUCCCCGGCGAUGCCAACGCCUGGCGGCGGCAGGACUGAAGCCAGGCUUUAGGGGGUGGAGCUGCGGCCGCGCGCCCGGGCCGGGCUGGCUGCGCCCUCAGCGGGUGACGCCCCCGCUCCCCCCGCUCCCCCCGCGCCUCCCCCCUGCCACUGGAUCCCCGCCUGCCCACCUCCCGGCCCGGCUCGCGGCGGCCGCAUCACAUGGCGAGGCCCGCCCGCCUGCCUCGCCCGACACCGGCUCCAGGAGGAAACCUGAAGCUGCCCCGACCGCGCUGUCUCCGCCAGCCCCCUCCCGCUGCGGGGCGGCGGCCGGUGGCCUCGGCUUCCCUCCCCCGGCCCGGAGCUCUGAGGCACGGAGGCUGGCGCGGACCUGCCGGGCCACUGGAGGGCCAGUUGCGCCCCGGGCGCCUCCACGCCUCGGCGCCUCCCGAGGAAGGCGCUGGGCUGCCGGCUCGCAAAAGGAGUUGUGCCAGGCCCAAGGGAGGCUCAGGGUGUUCCCAGCCAAAAGCCACCACACCCGUGACAUAAUACGGCCCAGGUCUAUUACAAUAGGAAAUAUUAUUUUUAAAAACAGCAUUUGCCCUCUAUUUGAAGCUCAUGUUCUCCGGCCGAGCUUUGCAAGCUGCGAUUCCCUUCACGUUUAUCCACGCAAGUGGCUGCAAGUCUUAAUUCAAAAACGUAUGAAAACCAUAACCACUUUUACAAUGAACAGCAAUGUGAAGGGGACUCCCUUAUCCUCCAAAGCGGUUUUCCUCUUAGAUGUGAUGACAACCCCAAGAGCAGAAGCCAAGCCUCUUCAUCAGCCAGGCUUUCAUCAUACAGACUUAAGACCAUUGUUACAGCUUUAA
rnacentral:lncRNA from 1 species